UGACUGUCAAUACUGCCGCCAGCAGACUACAGCCACGCCAGAGCAUAUACGUAAAAAACAUGUUCAAUAUGCUCUUCAUUAUAAAGAUGGUGGAGAGGCAAAAUUCACAAUUCCAUGCCUGUGUGACAAAGGGAGGAUAAAGAACCGCAGCCACUGGCACUGCCC